UACGUAGGGUGCAAGCGUUAUCCGGAAUGAUUGGGCGUAAAGCGUCCGCAGGUGGCUAUGUAAGUCUGCUGUUAAAGAGUGAGGCUCAACCUCAUAAGAGCAGUGGAAACUACAUGGCUAGAGUGCGUUCGGGGCAGAGGGAAUUCCUGGUGUAGCGGUGAAAUGCGUAGAGAUCAGGAAGAACACCGGUGGCGAAAGCGCUCUGCUAGGCCGCAACUGACACUCAUGGACGAAAGCUAGGGGAGCGAAUGGG
rnacentral:rRNA from 1 species